rnacentral:rRNA from 1 species
CUCAGAACGAACGCUGGCGGCGCGUUUUAAGCAUGCAAGUCGAACGGCAGCCGGGCUUCGGCCUGGUGAGAGUGGCGAACGGGUGAGUAACACGUAGGUGAUUUACCCGAGAGUUGGGGAUAGCUCAUGGAAACAUGGGGUAAUACCGAAUACGUUCUAAGGUUUUGACCUUGGAGGAAAGAGGCGUUUGCCUCGCUCCCGGAUAAGCCUGCGGCUUAUUAGCUAGUUGGUAGGGUAAAGGCCUACCAAGGCGAUGAUAAGUAGCCGGCCUGAGAGGGUGAUCGGCCACAUUGGGACUGAGAUACGGCCCAGACUCCUACGGGAGGCAGCAGCUAAGAAUCUUCCGCAAUGGGCGCAAGCCUGACGGAGCGACGCCGCGUGCACGAUGAAGGCAGAGAUGUUGUAAAGUGCUUUUAUGGGGGAGGAAUAAAGAGAGGAGGAAAUGCCUUUCUGAUGACGUGAUCCCAUGAAUAAGCUCCGGCUAAUUACGUGCCAG